GUUAUGGCUCAGUGGUAGAGCCCUUGCCUAGCACAUGUGAGGCCCUGGGUUUGAUCCUCAGCACCACAUAACA
rnacentral:tRNA from 1 species